GGCAUGGGCUGUGCUGGUCCUGUGCUUUGGACCAAAGCCGGAGCAGCAACCAAGACCACAGGCGCCAACUGACGCAGGGAGUCUGACGCCGUGCUGAGGGAUAGUAAAGGCUACCCCUGGCGGUAUUGGGGAAGUGGUACAGGCUAUAUCCUCGACUGGGAAGGGCUGUGCAAGCAGUGUCCUUUCCCACAAGAUCGAAUGGAGGCACAAAGCUCAGUUCCAGUGAGCCUGGUGGGUUAAAGCUCUGGCAGACUGAACAAACCUCCACCCUAUGUCCCUUGCCAAGGCAGGACAGGCACCUCAAGUGUCAGUCAGAGAAUGAGCUUUCACAUGUUUUCGGAGGGAACUUGGAUCAGUGUAGCGCUUGGAGCACCCAGGAAUCUGACAGGCAUAUGGUUUCUGUAAGCAUGUGGAAAGGGGAAAAAUAUAUAUAACAUGGAAGGGAUGCAUGCUUUGGAAACAUCUCCUCUUCAGGUGCCUCCAGAGGAAUAAGUAGUCCUGCUCCUCCUUGUACCAGCAGGAAAUUUCCAACGGAAUAAUAAGAUCAUUCACCAACUCAAGGCUCCAAAGGCUAACCCGAUAUGUACCCAGAACUUACAUUUGAAAGUCGAUUUAUUGAAAGUGCCUGGAACACACAGAGAACCGAAAUUUGAGGAUGGAUGAUGGAAACCAUUAAACAAUUCCUUAGUGGAAUUAACUAGGCAGAGUAUUUUCCCAGCUAUGGUAACACAUUAUUAAGGAUGGGGAAACUAGAUCAGAAAAAGUCCAUCCAUACUAGUCCAAACCUUUUCAAUCUCACUUUCACACAGGAUUUGGUUACACAGCAGGCAUAUAAAGGGGAUCAGAGUUUGCUUCAUGAAAUGUAGGUCUUCUAUUACAUGCAUUUGGAACUCUAAUGCUGGCAUGCAAAAUACAUUAUGAUUUCUUACAUCUAUGCUCAAAAAGUAAAAAACAAAACAUUAGAACACGACAAAGCUAAAAUUACUUUAGCAAAACGUUUGAAGGGCAAAUUAUACAAACAAAUGAUUGCCAGUUUAUGCAGACUGAUGAAUAUAGUGAAAACUUUUUUUAAAAAAAAUGUCUAGCAAGGUAAACCAGAGCAUUGAUAAAAGUAUUACUGUACCUUUAUGCUGAUUGUGAAUAUUUCAGAUAGUAAAGAGAAAGGGAGGGAAAAAGAAUGAAAGAAAAGAAAAAGAGAACAGAAAGUUAAGGAGGUUCUUUGCAACAAUACCCAAAUAAAGAGAAACAAGGACACAGAGGGAACUCAGUUCUGUGUACACCGUGCAGUGUACCAAACGAUAGCUGAUUUGAGAGCCGCUUGCCUCUGCCCCUCCCCCGCAUUCCACUUGCAUUAACGUCAAGCAGUUAAACUUCAAAAAGGUGCAUCCUAUACAGCAUAUUAAGUUUCAAACGAGCCACAUUUUAAGGCGUAAUUACAAAUUCAAAUAUCU